GACGAAGGUGGCAAGCGUUACUCGGAAUUACUAGGCGUAAAGCGUGGGUAGGCGGUUCGGUAAGUCUGUUGUGAAAGCUCCCGGCUCAACUGGGAGAGGCCAAUGGAUACUGCCGGACUUGAAUGUGGGAGAGGUCACUGGAAUUCCUGGUGUAGCGGUGAAAUGCGUAGAGAUCAGGAGGAACACCGAUGGCGAAAGCAGGUGACUGGACCACUAUUGACGCUGAGCCACGAAAGCUAGGGGAGCAAACAGG
rnacentral:rRNA from 1 species